GUGAUUGUGACAACUGUUUUGCAUACGGAUAAUAUCUCACUGGUUGCCAGAGCUGCCAGGUGAGGAGAGUAGACGCAGUGAGUGGCCCUACCGCUUAGCAGGAAGAAUUCCUCAAAAGAGAUGCAGUCCUGCCCUCCCAUUUCUUUCCCUCAACGCUGAAACAACAACAUACAGAGACCAUGGAGAAUUAUUUAAAACUAAUCAACAUGUGAACAACCUUGGAAGAAGGGUCUUGGGCAAAGCAAACUCAAAAUUACUUGCUUUUGGAAUGAGAACAGGAAGAAAAUGAAGAACUUGGCUUUCAAGGAGCUUAGGAAGCUACGCAGAAGAACAAGUUCCCUGUUGAGUGGGGAUUUGUUUCUUUGACUUGUCUGAGAUCAGAGCCAAAUGUCCUAGUUGUUUGGAAGGGCUCGAAAUGUUUCUUUCUUCACCUGAGUGGAGCUGUUUUGGAACUGGAUGCAUCUCUUUGUAAAUCACAUUAUCUGGGGAGUUGCCCCCCCCAUCCCCUUCCUAAGAGCUCUUUGAAGAAAAAUACAAUGUUCAUUUUCGUAUUUUUAUCACUUAACACAGUUCCUGACUUAUGUUAAUUAAAGGAAUGAAUGAUGAUGAAUGAAUAAAAUGG
rnacentral:lncRNA from 1 species